rnacentral:lncRNA from 1 species
AUAAAAGUCCUCCUUUGACCAAUUUGUGUUGAUUCCAUUUCCCCUCCCCCUUCAUCUCAAUCCCAUUCUCUUCUCAUUCAUUUCAUGGACCUAUGAUAUCUCUAUAUCCUAAGGCUGGUUGAUUGUAAAAUCAACAUAAGUAUGAAUGAGAUUAGGUCCACCCCUUUGGCAUUUUCUUUUAAGUGUGGUAUGUUUUAGGAGUAUGGUUCAUAAUACCAUAUCUCUAACAUGUAUUAACA